GAUAAUUUUUUUGUGUUAUAUUGUUUUUUGUAAUGGACAUUAGAAAUCAUUUUCUUAUGCCUUAUAUCAGCACUAUCUCCAGGAUUAGUAGGUGAAAUCAUUCAUUGAACCGGUUUUGAAAUGAUGUUGAUCACCAGUUUUCUUUAGUCUUCAGCUUUCUUUAUGUCAUAUUUUAAAUCUUUAAACAUUCACAACUCCUGGAUGCCUGAUACCGGGACUAUCUCCUGGAUUAGUAGGCGCAAAAUCAUUUGUAAAUUUGUUGUUUAGAACUCUUGGAUGCCCAAUACCGAGACUAUCUUCUGGAUUAGUAGGCGCAAACUCAUUUAUAAAUCUGUUUUUUAGAUUAUUUUCAUCACCAAUUUUCUUUAGCUUUUUUACU
rnacentral:sRNA from 1 species